AUUUUCACAUUAUACUUGUAAGUUUUUCCCACUAACUGUCUAAAACCCUUCCUUUCUCCUGUCCCAGGUGAGACCAGCUGGCAGUGGUGCUGCUGUCUGGUGAACUGUGUUGCUCCUGGGCUCCUCUUGUCUGUAGCCUUUAUCCUGUGGGGCCUGACUGAAGGUUUUCUCCAGGAGUCGGUCACCUGCGCCACUGUCAGUGUGCUGAGGAUCCUGCUGGUGUCAAUGAUGGCCCCCUAUUCACACAGGUAUCCAGCUUGGAGGACGUUUUCUGAGAAUCCCUGUCAGAGAUGCCCUGGUUGUAUAGCAAGGAGUGCCUGCUGUCAACACCUCCUGCGAUCAGCUUCCUGUUUUGGUUUGAUGUUCAGUAUUGGAUUCAUAGAUGGAUUCUAUUUUGUUAUUACUACACAAACAGAUCCAAUAAGUAAGUACUCCAGUAAAUCUUUCACAUCUGUUGAUAGGUUCCAGGUUUCUAAUUUAGAAAGGGCUCAGGAGUGGAGGAGUAAGUGAGGUUCGUGAUUGUGUUGUGAAGAGUUACAAAGGGAGGCCCAUAUACACUAAAGCCUGUGAGGAGUCAGUGAUCCUCCUGGUCAUUAGGGGCUGAGACUCCAGACCCUGUCCAGCUGGGAGAUGGAGGCUCUGUAGUUGGGGUUAGAUAUCUGGGCUGUGAUGGGUCUGAUCCUGUGGUGACCUGACGCCUGUGUGCUGAUGGGCUCAGAGGAUCACCUGUUGUGUUCAGGAAUGCUGCUGCUGAUGUGUGUGUUGAUCAGCAUGUUAUUGAGGACUGCAGUCCUUGUGAGCUGUUGCUCUUGACUACAGUUUUCACUGGGAGUGUGAAGAAGUCUGGAGGACACUGUAAAUGUCUGUGAAUGGUCAUGUCCAGGAGGACAGUACUCAUGAUUCUGGCAAACCUGUAACUACAGAGUAUGUGACUCCAGGGGUCUUUAUAAAUGAGUAAGUGGGGUAGUUUCCCUCCUGUGUUAAUGAGAUGAAUACUGCAGCUGUACACCUCUGUACUUCACAGACUCGCAAAAUUCACUUUAUUGAAACUUGUUUUCUCUGUUUUUCAUUGUGCAGAAUACAUAACUGGACUGGCUGUAAGUGCUGUAGCUCUGUUUGUGCUUGUGCCCUUUAAGGAGCGGUGUGGUCUCUCGGGAGCACGUGCAUGUAAGUGGAGUUGUGUCUGUUGUUCACCUGCUGGGGAGGAGAUAGAGUUCCUCCCAGACAAGUCAUUGCAGAGCUGCAGUCCUCUGGCACAGGGCUGCUCAGAGAGGGAGAGGGGGGAAGGCAUGACACCAUUCUGCAUGGGCACUGCUAGAGACAGAGCAGAACAAGCAGGAGCAGAGCUGCUCAGUGUGAAUUGUCACUGUGCAGUAAUUUGCCAUUGAAGCCAGGAUUGUAGCUCCUGGCAGAGCUCUUUCUGUAUCAUUUAAGAGUCAUUAUUCAGAGUCUUAACUGAAGUGCUCUGACUGACAAUUACAUCCAUAAUGUAAUCUUAGUCAAUUAGACCGAUAUCUACUGUAAAACAACUGUAGUACAAUAGACCUUUAAUGUUUAUAAAAGUCUGAUUCAUUGAUGUAGAGUUUUAUAUGAGCUGAUGAAGAUCAUUAUAACUGUGACACUAUUGUAUUGAACUGUGUGUAAGUGGAUCAUGAGCUCUGGCUGAAACAUGAAUCCCAAGCUCCAUGUAGAACGUUUGAACUAGACUGAGAUCAUUCAUGAGAAGGGCUUUGUUUGUCUCUGUGUUGUGGAGUAGUGGUGUGUGAAACAUGAAUGAAAAGUCCUAAUAGAUUUUUCCUCUUUCAGCUUUGUGUCACAGACUUGUUCUUGUGGCUUUGCUGACAGUUUUAAUCACAUUCAUGUUGUUUUGGCUGAACGAGGCUCCAGAGAGUGACAGAGGUGUGUAAGAGUGUCUGGUCUCUUGGGGCUCUGGGGGCUCUGUGGUGGCUCAGCUGUGUGGACUGAGCCCUGGGCUCU
ensembl:lincRNA